GAUGAACGCUCGCGGCAGGCCUAAUACAUGCAAGUCGAACGAGAUUAAGAGGCUUGCUUCUUAUGAAAGUGGCGCACGGGUGCGUAACGCGUAUGCAACCUACCUUAAUCAGGGGGAUAGCCCGAAGAAAUUCGGAUUAAGACCGCAUAAAAACACAGGAUAGCAUUAUCCACUGUUCAAAUAUUUAUAGGAUUAAGAUGGGCAUGCGUGUCAUUAGCUAGUUGGCGGGGUAACGGCCCACCAAGGCGACGAUGACUAGGGGAUCUGAGAGGAUGACCCCCCACACUGGUACUGAGACACGGACCAGACUCCUACGGGAGGCAGCAGUAAGGAAUAUUGGUCAAUGGAGGGAACUCUGAACCAGCCAUGCCGCGUGCAGGAAGACAGCCCUCUGGGUCGUAAACUGCUUUUAGUCGGGAAUAAACCUUUCUACGUGUAGGAAGCUGAAUGUACCGAAGGAAUAAGGAUCGGCUAACUCCGUG
rnacentral:rRNA from 1 species